UAAAAAAUUAAGAAGAAAUGGACAAAAGUGAUGGAAGCCCCAGAGGGCUGGGCAACGGAGUGAUUUCUGGCAAUGAGACCUGCUGAAGACGUUGCUGCCGAGAGGAACGAAUUCUUUCACCAUAUUAUUAACAUUAGCUAUAUUAACAGUACUUUCAGUCAGGAGUGUUAUCCAAGCUGGAGUGCAAUGGUGCGAUCUUGGUUCACUGCAACCUCCACCUCCCAGGUUCAAGCGAUUCUCCUUCCUCAGCCUCCGGAGUAGCUGGGAUUAUAGGCUCGCACCACCACGCCCAGCUAAUUUUUUUUUUAUUUUUAGUAGAGAUAGGGUUUCACCAUAUUGGCCAGGCUGGUCUCCAACUCCUGGCCUCAAGUGAUCCGCCCACCUCGGCCUCCCAAAGUGCUGGGAUUACAGGCGUGAGCCAUCGCACCCAGCGGCUGCUGCCUUUCUUUAACCUCACUACGUUAUUUUCAUGCCAUUAACUUUUAGAAAAGCCAGAAAUACUCCAAGAAUGAUGCUGUGUGCUUCACGUUGCAUUGGAUGAGGAGGCGCACAGCAUCUGAUGGUCCCAGGCUUACUAAUGAUCAGCCUGUUUCAUGAGUGGGGCGAUUCCUCCUUUGCCUCUGGUUACGGAGUCUCACUCUGUUGCCCAGGCUGGAGUGCAGUGGCAAGAUCUCGGCUCACUGCAACCUCCACUUCCUGGGUUCAAGCGAUUCUCCCACCUCAGCCUCCUGAGUAGCUGCGAUUACAGGCGUGCACCACCACGCCCGGAUAAUUUUUGUAUUUUUAGUAGAGAUGGGAUUUCACCAUGUUGGCCAGGCUGGUCUCGAACUCCUCGGCUCCAAUGAUCCUUCCACCUCAGCCUCCCAAAGUGCUGGGAUUAGAGGCGUGAGCCACUGUGCCCAGCCAUGCUGAGCAUUUUAAUCUGUUAUCCUACAAGAGCAAAACUUGUCACCUCUGCCUGCUUCUAUUUUUGGUCUAUGGGGAAUUUUUAUCUCAUUUUUCAGUCCAUCUGCAAGUGUGUGUGUGUGUGUGUGUGUGUGUGUGUGUGUGCGUGUCUGUGUGUGUGUGUGUGUUCCUGGCCAAGUCCAGAUCCAUUCUGCCUGCAUACAGUAAAUCAAUCACAGUGAAGAUGGAUUUUGCAAAGGAGAAAAGAUUUAUUCACAAGGGCACCGAGCAAGGAGGUGGGAGAACAGCUCUCAAGUCCACCUCCAUGAAAAUGAGGCUUCGGGAUGUUUAGGGGUUAGGAAAGUGGAGUGAUCUAAAGCAUGGGGAAAGGUGAUUGGCAGGGGAAAAAAUAAAGUAACAGGUUCAUGAUGCACAAGCAUAGCUGGGGCUCGUGACAUUUGUGUGGCAUAUGUACAGAAAAUGAUGGCAUCAGCUUGAUCUGAGGGGGGAGUUUUUGGCCCUCUGUGGUCAAAAGGCCACGUCUUGGGCAAUUGUGUUGGCCCAGUUGAAGGGUCAGUGGUCUCAAACAGUUUGAACUGGACAGGAGCCGGCCCACAUUUCUGAAAAACAACUGAAGCAACCAUUACUAUGGUGACUUAUGGAUGUUAUCUAUAAAGUAGCCAGCGAUGGGUAAGUUUCAGCGUUCAGUGGUGAGGCCUUCGGUAUUGCAGCCUUCAACAUCCUGGAAAAAAGGAAAAAACAAACAAGCAAAAGCGAGCGAUCAAAAGCAAGCAGGGCAGGCAGAGCUGACUAAACGAACCCCUCAGUUUCAUGUGUGUGUGUCUGUGUGUCUAAUAAACUCUUUAUUUCUCCUUCAUUUUUUAAAAAAUUAAUACACUUUAUUUUUUAGAGCAGUUUUAGGCUCACAGAAAAACUGAAUGUUAAGUCCAAGAAUUCCCAUACACCCACUCCCAGCCAUCCACACCAUUGACAUCCCCUGUCAGUGUGGUGCAUUUGUUAUAAUCAAUGAACCAACACAGACACAUCUUUAUCACCCAAAGUCCAUAGUUUAUUCUCUUUUUUCUUGAGACGGUCUCACUCUAUCACCCAGGCUGGAAUGCAGUGGUGCAGUCUCAGCUCACUGCAGGCUCCACCUCUCAGGCCUAGUGAGCCUGUUACUUCAGCCUCCUGAGUAGCUGGGACUACAGGCACGUGCCACCGCAACUGGCUAAUUUUUGUAUUUUUAUAGAGAUGAGGUUUCACCAUGUUGCCCAAGCUGAUCUCAAACUUGAGAGCUCAAGCUAUCUGCCCACCUCGGCCUCGCAAGGUGCUGGGAUUGCAGGGGUGAGCCACAGCGCCCAGCCCAGAGUUCAUAGUUUAAAUUAGGGUUCACCCUGUGUUGAACAUUUUAUGGGUUUCACAAGUGUAGAAUGUCAUAUACCCACUGUUACAGUAUCAUAAACGGUAGUUUCACUGCCCAAAAAAGCCUCUGGGCUUCACCUGUUCCUCCCUUCCCCACCCCUAACCCCAGGCAACCACUGAUCUUCUUACUGUCCCCAUAGUUUUGCCUUUUCCAGAAUGUCAUCUAGGUGGAAUCUUACAGUAUAUAGUUUUUUUCAGAUUGGCUUCUUUCACUUUGCAAUAUGCCUUUGAUAUGGUUUGGCUCUGUGUCGUCACCCAAAUCUCAUCUUGAAUUGUACUCCCAUAAUUCCCACAUGUUGUGGGAGAGACCUGGUGGGAGAUAAUUGAAUCGCCAAUACUGUUCUCAUGGUAGUGAAUAAGUCUCACGAGAGCUGAUGGUUUUAUCAGGGGUUUCCGCUUUUGCAUCUUCCUCAUUCUUACUUUGCCUGCUGCUCCUCCUUGCCUUCUGCCAUGAUUGUGAAGCUUCCCCAGCCACCUGAAACUGUAAGUCC
rnacentral:lncRNA from 10 species